rnacentral:rRNA from 1 species
AGCUCCAAUAGCGUAUAUUAAAGUUGCUGCAGUUAAAAAGCUCGUAGUUGCAUUUCCGAGGCAAGGGAUUAGUCCGACCUUUGGUGGGUAUUUAAUCCUCUUGCCUCGUCCUUGAGUGGUGCUUCUUGGUAUUAAGUUAUCGAGGAGAUAGCCGCUCAUCGUUUACUGUGAGAAAAUUAGAGUGUUCAAAGCAGGCUUAUGCCGUUGAAUAUAUUAGCAUGGAAUAAUAAGAUAGGACCUGGGUACUAUUUUGUUGGUUUGAGAACCAAGGUAAUGAUGAAUAGGGACAGUUGGGGGUAUUCGUAUUCAGUUGUCAGAGGUGAAAUUCUUAGAUUUACGGAAGACGAACUACUGCGAAAGCAUUUGCCAAGGAUGUUUUCA